AAUGAACGUUGGCGGCAUGGAUUAGGCAUGCAAGUCGAGCGAGAAGUGUAGCAAUACACGGAAAGCGGCGGAAGGGAGAGUAAUACGUGGGAAUCUGCCCUUAGACCUGGGAUAGCAGCGGGAAACUGCUGGUAAUACCAGAUAAUGUCUAUGGACCAAAGGUGUGAUUCCGUCUAGGGAUGAGCCCACGUCCUAUUAGCUAGUUGGUAGGGUAAUGGCCUACCAAGGCGAUGAUGGGUAGCGGGUGUGAGAGCAUGACCCGCCUCACUGGGACUGAGACACUGCCCAGACACCUACGGGUGGCUGCAGUCGAGAAUCGUCGGCAAUGGGCGCAAGCCUGACCGAGCGAUGCCGCGUGCGGGAUGAAGGCCUUCGGGUUGUAAACGGCUGUCGAGGGGGAGCAACUUCCAUAGAGUUAUCUUUAUGGAUUGAGUGAUCCCUGGAGGAAGGACGGGCUAAGUUCGUGCCAGCAGCCGCAGUAAAAC
rnacentral:rRNA from 1 species